ACUCAGUGGUGUGCUGGAGCAGGCUCCUACCAGCUAGAAAGAACCAGUUCAAUACGUCUCUUCUCAACUCCAUGUUCAGAGUUGUCAGAGAACCAAUUGUUAAAUAUUUACUGGCACUCCACUGCUUAGAUUUUACCAGUGCUGGCAGUGCUAACCAGGAGCUCAUCCCUGGAGGAGAGGCAGAGAAUGUGUACUCCCAGAUGCAGCCAGCUUCCAGAAGAAGAGGUAGGAGCCAAGCAGAGCAUGCCCACAUCAAUCUUCCAGCAUUUAAUGGCCAUAGAAGUUACUGAACCUCCCUUGGAUGGAUAGAAGAUGGCAUUAUCUUUCUUAAAUAUGAUACCUCUUAUCUUUUUGUUCCCU
rnacentral:lncRNA from 10 species